rnacentral:rRNA from 1 species
UACAGAGGUCUCAACCGUUGUUCGGAUUCAUUGGGCGUAAAGGGUGCGUAGGCGGUCGUGCAAGUCGGAUGUGAAAUCUCAGGGCUCAACCCUGAAACUGCAUUCGAUACUGCGCGGCUAGAGUGCUGGAGGGGAGACUGGAAUUCCUGGUGUAGCGGUGAAAUGCGCAGAUAUCAGGAAGAACACCCGUGGCGAAGGCGGCUCUCUGGGACGGUACUGACGCUGAGACGCGAAAGCGUGGGGAGCGAACAGG